rnacentral:rRNA from 1 species
UUCCGGUUGAUCCUGCCGGACCCCACUGCUAUCGAGGUGGGACUAAGCCAUGCCAGUCGAACGACCCGGACUAUGGCGGGGAGUGGCAGACUGCUCAGUAACACGUAGCUAACCUACCCUCGGGACGGGGAUAACCCCGGGAAACUGGGGCUAAUACCCGAUAGGUGUGGAUUCCUGGAAUGGUGCCAUGCCUAAAUGUAAGCACAUCCAUGUUUGUGUGCACGCCCGAGGAUGGGGCUGCGGCCGAUCAGGCAGUUGGUGAGGUAACGGCUCACCAAACCUUUGACCGGUACGGGCCAUGAGAGUGGUAGCCCGGAGAUGGGCACUGAGACAAGGGCCCAGGCCCUACGGGGCGCAGCAGGCGCGAAACCUCCACAAUUCACGCAAGUGAGAUGGGGUUACCUCGAGUGCUAUCUGAAGAAGGUGGCUUUUCCAUGGUGUAAUGAGCCGUGGGAAUAAGGGGGGGGCAAGACUGGUGUCAGCCGCCGCGGUAACACCAGCCCCCCGAGUGGUGGGGAUGAUUAUUUGGCCUAAAGCGUCCGUAGCCAGCUCGGUAAAUCUCUCGUUAAAUCCAGCGUCCUAAGCGUUGGGCUGCGAGGGAAACUGCCGAACUAGAGGGUGGGAGAGGUCAGCGGUAUUCCUGGGGUAGGGGCGAAAUCCAUUUGAUCCCGGGAGGACCACCAGUGGCGAAAGCUGCUGACUAGAACACGCCUGACGGUGAGGGACGAAAGCUGGGGUAGCGAAUCGGAUUAGAUACCCGAGUAGUCCCAGCCGUAAACGAUGCAAGGCUAGGUUGUUGAGUCGGCCAUGCGCCGCCUCAGUGCCACAGGAAGCCAAUUAAGCAUGCCCGCCUGGGGAGUACGGCCGCAAGGCUGAACUUAAAGGAUUUUGCCGGGAGC